AGCGUGGUAACACGUGCAGCUGACUGUCACUAAUAGGUCGAGGGCUUAACCAA
rnacentral:rRNA from 1 species